GACGAACGCUGGCGGCGUGCUUAACACAUGCAAGUCGAACGGUAAGGCCCUUCGGGGUACACGAGUGGCGAACGGGUGAGUAACACGUGGGUGAUCUGCCCUGCACUUCGGGAUAAGCCUGGGAAACUGGGUCUAAUACCGGAUAGGACCACUGCCUGCAUGGGUGGUGGUGGAGAGCUUUUGCGGCGUGGGAUGGGCCCGCGGCCUAUCAGCGUGUUGGGGGGGUGAUGGCCUACCAAGGCGACGACGGGUAGCCGGCCUGAGAGGGUGACCGGCCACACUGGGACUGAGAUACGGCACAGACUCCUACGGGAGGCAGCAGUGGAGAAUAUUGCACAAUGGGCGCAAGCCUGAUGCAGCGACGCCGCGUGAGGGAUGACGGCCUUCGGGUUGUAAACCUCUUUCAGCACCGACGAAGCGCAAGUGACGGUAGGUGCAGAAGAAGGACCGGCCAACUACGUGCCAGCCGCCGCAGUAA
rnacentral:rRNA from 1 species